UACGUUUAUUUUCUCCAUAUUUGUUAACUAUCAUACUGGUAACUUUAUAUAGAAGUAUUUACAGUCGCGUUUCAUACUGGUAACCCGGUAUUCAACCUCCAUCCACGGGGACCGAAGGAGUCUUGCGCGGGGUUUCAGCAGCGCCGUCGCGGUAAGAUUUCAAACAUUCUCCGUCGCUAUAGCACCUGAGGACAGAAGUUGUUCACGUUAUUUCGAGUUUUUGUACACAGCAGGUGCGAAGGCGGUAUGUGAGGAGCUACAGUUCAUUGUAUUAGUACAUUGACGGUUGUUUGUUUAAUAUUGAACAUCGCGCCCGCCCUAGACACGGUAAAAGUUACAUGCUUCGACUGUUGGGAUUCACGGGAAUUUACUAUUGAAUACCACACUCGGUCGUGAUUAUUUUGUGUUGUAAUUCAAAUUUGCAAAUGCAGUUAUCCGUUAAACCGAGCGCCCAAAUUAAAACGAGUCACCAAAGCUUGCGGUAGGUCGAUGUUCACGGAGGAUAUCCCAGUAAAGUGAUUAAUGUACGUAACGAGCUAGAUAUACAGUGUACAUAACGGAGGCCAGCUGAGAGCUUGAGCAAAAGACGUUAGCCACACCCUUAUCGUUAGAGCAGGACUGUCUCCCAAAUACGACCGUUAGAGGGUAGGAGUGAGACGGCCCGUUACAAAUAACAGUGUGACAAUUUCUUGAUCGUGACAUCCCUUACGUAAAUGGCUUACAUUUCUGUAUAAGUACGGUUUUAAGUGUAAGUUACUCUGUGUAAUUUGCUUAGAGUUUGUUUGUAGAAUCACUUAUACUUAAAUGUAGUUUAAAUGUAAAAAGCUUAAAGAUAAAAUUGUAUUGUAUCUAUUAACUAUUGUCACAUGUGGUAUUGUUUGUUUUAGGACACACUUUGCCAUGCAGGCCACUGGAUGCUGACUACUGAAGGUUAGGUUGUGUGUGACGGUGCUCAGCACAGCUUCAUGUCUGGCCUUCCCACUCUGAUCAUAGCAUGUUAAAUAUUCAAUCUUCAGUACCAGGAUGGGGGAGCGUCUAUCGUGGAGUCCACUGAAAGAUAUUAAUCCAGAGAGUGGAACAAGAAGAAGCGUCAUCUAAAAUGCCAGGAUACAGAAGUAACAGGUUGCAGUGAAACCACAUGUUGCCGCUCUUCUAAACACAAUGAUGAAUUUUCAGUGAAAUCGAUGAAAAUUCCAGCUACUUGUUGUGCUCUGAUGGAUCAAGAUGUGGAACGUUUUACAGACUCACUUGGGCUUUGUUAUGCGAUGUUGUUACAUCAUGGAUAUGUUGGUUAAGGUAUUGUUUAAACAUUCAUUGUUUAAAGAGCCAUGUUGGCUACUAUGAAGUUGUAACUGAAUAAAAAUAUUUUAUGUACAACAAGGUACAAAAUUUGUCUGUAAUUUAUUUUUGUAUCAAUUAAAACAUAAAUAAACAGUGUAAAUCCAGUAUGCAACAACUACUGGAUAUACAGUGAUUAUGUAUUUCUUCUAAAUAAAGUAAAUUAAAAUCAAGCAAUUGGCUGUAAAAAAUACAGCAUUAUACUGUUUCUAUUCAAAAUUACAGUUUUUUCCUGUAUUAUGCAAUUACAGAAAAUGGCUGUAAAUUAAAUUACAGAACUGUGGCUGUAAAAUUUACAG